AGAGAUGCGCAGUGCUGCCCCUUUCUAUGGGCAGGGCCGAAGGUCCGCGUGUAAAAGUACCCAGUCCCUGGUAACCUGACACUUCCCUUUUAAAAGCCACCUUUUGUCUAUCUCUGGCCUGCCACGAUUCUUCCUGUGCUCCAUAGGAGGACCCAUUGGACCCCCGGGCUGGCUGCAGGGCCCACACCUGGGUUAGACCUCGCACAGGGACGCUGCUGCCACUGUAAUAAAGCGUGCCUACACGCUUCUGAAACUGGUGUAGGAACAACCUCAGUUCUGUGAAAGGCGGACGCAGCAGGACAGAAUCUCCGUGGACAUCUGUCUGGAGGAGCAAUUUUACUGCGACAUUUUAAAGAAACAAAUUUAAUUGAUUUCCAAGGGUGUCCAUCGCGCUUCCUUCACUGCCUUGAUCAUGUCGGGGUCACCACCUGCGGGGGUUUGUCCUGCAGACCCUGACUCAACGACGGAUGAAUAAUGUACACUGACACAGAUCUUAUGCUUGUCAGUCCUGCUGAGCAUCCAGGCCACUUACAGACUCCAAGAAGAGUCCUGUCAGCCACGGCUCUGACUUGUUGGCCCUCCCGGCAUUUAUUUAGCACACAUUUAAUGACAGAAGUCUCAGGUAAACACCACUAGAAGGCUGGAAACACUCUUUUUGUAGAACAUACAAAUGGACAUUUCUAAGCACAUUGAGGCCUAUAAUGAAAAAUCAAAUAUCCCACAAUGAAAACUAGAAGGAAGCUAUCUGUGAUAAUGCUUUGUGGUGUAUGGAUUCAUCUCACUGACUGAAACCUGAGUUUUGAUUCACCAGGUUGGAAACUCUUUCUGCAGAAUCUGCAAAGAAAUAUUUCUGAGCCCAUUGAGGCCUACAGUGGAAAACUGAAUAUUCUGUGAUAAAACUAGAAACACCCUAUCUGUGAAAAUGCUUUGUGAUGUGUGGAUUUUUCUCAUCGAAUGGAACCUCUGUUUUGACUCACAAGGGUGAAACACUAUUUUAGUAGAAUCUAGGAAGAAACAUAUCUGAGCCCAUUUAUGCCUACAGUGAGAAACUGAAUACCCUGCAAUAAAAAGUAGACAGAAGCUAUUUGUAAAAAUGCUUUGUGAUGUGUGGAUUCAGUGUUAAACUUUUAUUUUGAUUCCACAGUUUUGACACCCUAUUUGUAGAAUAUAUGAAUGAACAUUUCUCAGCCCAUUGAGGCCUAUCAUGUGAAACCAAAUAUUUUAUAAUAAAAACUGGAAACAAGUGAUCUGUUAAAAUGUUUUUUAGUGUGUGAAUUUGUUUCACAAAGAUAAAUCUUUGCAUGGAUUCAACAGGUUGGAAACAUUAUUGUAGAACCUAUGAAGGGAUGUUUUUAGCCUAUUAAGGACUAUAUAUAUAAAAAAAACUAGAAACAAGCUGUCUGUGAAAAUGCUUUGUGAUGUGUGGAUUCAUCUCACAGAGUUCCACCUUUGUUUUUAUUCAACAGGUUAAAAACGCUCUUUUUGUAGAACCUACAAAAAGACAUUUCUGAGCCCAUUGAGGCCUACAGUGAAAAACCAAGAAUCCCAUAAUACAAUCUAGAAAACAAGCUAUCUAGGAAACUGUUUUGGAUGUGUGGAUUCAUUUAACAGAAUGGAAAUAGUGUUUUGAUUCACCAUGUUUGAAACACUCUUUUUGUGGAAUGCACGAAGAACAUUCUUUGUGGAAGAACAUUGAUGCCUAUAGUGAUUAACCAAAUAUCACGUGAUGCAAACUAGAAACAAGCUAUCUGUGAAAAUGCCUUGCAGCGUAUGGAUUCAUGUCACAGAGUUACACCUAUGUUUUGAUUCAACAGGUUGGAAACAAUCUUUUUGUAGAAUCUACAAAGGAAUAUUUCUGAGCCAAUUGAGUUCUAGAGUGAAAAACAGAAUAUCCUGUGAUAAAAACUAUAAAUAAGCUCUCUGUGAAAUUGCUUUGAGACUGUGGAUGCAUCUUUCAGAGUUAUGCCCUUGCUUAUAUUCAACAGGUUGGAAACACUUUUCUUGUAGAAUCUAUGAAGGGAUAUUUCUGAACCUAUUGAGGCCUAUGGUGAAAAAUUGAAUAUUCUGCGAUAUAAACCAGAAACAAGCUCUCUGUGAAAAUGCUUUUCCAUGUGUGCAUCCAUCUUACAGAGUUAAACGUUUGUUUAGAUUCAACAGGUUGGAAAUACUCUUUUUGUAGAAUCUAUGAAGGGAUAUUUCUGAACUUUUUGAGGCCUAUUGGCAAAAUCCGAAUAUUACGUGAUAAAAACUAGAAACAAGGUAUCAGUGAAAAUGCUUUGUGAUGUGUGGGUUUAUCUCACCAAAUAAAACCUGUGUCUUGAUUCACCAGGUUGGACACACUUUUUUUUCUAUAACCUACAUAGGGCGAUUUCUGAGCCUAUUGAGGUCUAUAGCAAAGCAACAACAACAAAUAUCCUGUCUUAUAAUCUAGAAAGAAGUUAUCUCUGAAAAUACUUUAUGAUGUGUGAAUUCAUCUCACAAAGUUAAACCUUUGUUUUGAUUCAACUGAUUGGAAACACUCUUUUUGUAAAAUCUAUGAAGGGAAAUUUCUGAGCCCAUUUAGGCCUAUAGUGAGAAACAGAAUAUCCCACUGUAAUAAGUAGAAACAAGCUAUCUGUGAAAAUCAUUUAUGGUGGCUGGAUUCAUCUCACCAAAUGAAACCUGUGCUUUGAUUCACCAGUUUGGAAACACUAUUUUUAUAGAAUCUAUGCAGGAAUAUUUCUGAUCCCAUUGAGGCAUAUGCUGAAAAUUCGAAUAUCCCAUGAUAAAAACUACAAACAAGCUAUCUAUGAAAAUGUUUUGUCAUGUGUGGAUUCAUCUCACAGAGUUAAACCUUUGUUUUGAUUCAUCUGUUUGAAAACACGCUUUUUUGUAGAAUCUAAGAAUCAACAUUUCUGAGUGCAUUGAAGCCUAUAGUGAAAAACAAAAUAUCUGAUGAUAAAAACUAGAAACAAGCUAUCUGUGAAAAUGCUUUGUGAUAUGUGGAUUCAUCUCAAAGAAUUAAACUUUAUUUUGAUUCAACAGGCUGGAAACACUGUUUUCGUAGAACCUACAAAAAGACAUUGGGGAGCCCACUGAGUCUUACAGUGAUAAACCAAGGAUCCUGUGAUAAAACUAGAAACAAGCUAUCUGUGAAAAUGCUUUGCAGUUGGUGAAUUUCUUUCAUAGUUAAACCUUUUUUUAUUCAAUACGUUGGAAACACCAUUUUUUAGUGUCUCUAAAGGGACUUUUUCAGCCCUUUGAAACCUAUAGUGAAAAACCAAAUAUCUUGCAAUAAAAACAAAUAAACAAAAAAGAACUACUUAUGAAAAUGCCUUGUGAUGUGUGGAUUCAUCUCACAGAGUUAAACCAUUGUUGUGAUUCAACAGGUUGGAAACAUGCUUUUUGUAGAAUCUACGAGUUGACAUUUCUGAGCCCUCUCUGGGUUAUGGUGAAAACGAAAUAUCCCAUGAUAAAAACUAGAAACAACCUAUCUGUGAAAAUGCUUUGCAAUGUGUGGAUUCAUUUCACAGAAUUAAACCAUUGUUUUGAUUUAACAGGUUGGAAACACUCUUUUUGUAGAAUGUAUGAAGAGAUAUUUCUGAGGCCUGUUGUGAAAAACUGAGGUUUCCACAAGAAAAACUGGAAACAAGUUAUCUGAGAAAAUGCUUUAUGAUGGGUGAAUUCAUCUCACAAAAUUAAACCUUCGUUUUGAUUCAAAAGGUUGGAAUAACUUUUCUUUUCUUCUUCUUCUUCUUUUUUUUUUUUUUUUUUUGGACAGGGUCUUGCUCUGUCACCCAGGCUGAAAUGCAAUGGCACAAUCUCGGCUCACUGGUUCAAGCAAUUCUCCUGCGUCAGCCUCACAAGUAGCUGAGAAUACAGGUGCCAGCCACCACAACUGGCAGUUUUUUUGUAUUUUUAUAAAAGAUGGGGUUUCAGCAUGUUAACCAGGAUGGUCUCGAUUUGCUGACCUCCUGAUCUGCCUGCCUUGGCCUCCCAAAGUGUUGGUAUUACAGGUGGAAUCACUUUUUUUGUAGAAUCUGUGCAGGCACAUUUCUGAGGCCUACAGUGAAAAAUUGUAGGCCUCAUUGAGGCCUACAGUGAAAAAUUGAAUAUCCCUCAAUAAAAAUUACAAACAAGCUAUCUGUGGAAAUGCUUUGUGAUGUCUGGAUUCAUCUCACAGAGUGAAACCUUUCUUUUGAUUCAUUAGGUUGAAAGCACACUUUUUGUAAAAAUUACAAAGGAACAUUUCUGGGCCUAUUUAGGCCUGUGGUGAAAAAUCAGAAAACUAGUGAUAAAAUCUAGAAACAGGCUUGUGUGAAAAUGCUUUGGGUUGUGUGCAUUUAUCUCACAGAGUUAAACAUUUAUUUUGAUUUAACAAGUUGGAAACACUCUUUUUGUAGAAUCUAUGAGGGGACAUAAUUGAGCUUAUUGAGGCCUAUAGUAAAAAUUUGAGGAUUCUGCUAUAAAAACUAGAAACAAGCUAUCUGUAAAAAUGCUUUGCUGUGUGUGUAUUCCUAUCACAAAGUUACAGCUUUGUUUUGAUUCAACAGGUUGCAAACACUCUUUUUGCAGAAUCUAUGAAGGAACAUUUCUGAACCAAUUUUGGCCUAUAGUGGAAAACUGAACAUUCUGUGAUAUAAACUAGAGAAAAGAUAUCUGUGAAAAUGCUUUGCAAUGUGUGGAUUCAUCUCACUGGAUGGAACCUAUGCUUUGAUUUAGUAGGUUGGAAAUACUCAUUUUGUAGAAUCUACAAAGGAUAUUUCUGAGCCCCUUUGAGCCUGUAGUGAAAAAUCAAGGAUCCCAUGAAGAAAAACAGAAAAACACUAUCUGUCAAAAUGCUUAUUGGUGUGUGGAUUCUUCUUACCAAAUGGAACCUGUGUUUUGAUUCACCAGGUUGGAAACACUUUUUUGUAGAGUCUAUGAAGGGACAUUUCUCAGCCCAUUGAGGCCUAUAGUGAUGAACAAAAUAUCCCAUAAUAGAAGCUAGAAAAAAGCUAUUUCCAAAAAUGCUUUGCAAUGUGUGGAUUUAUCUUACAGAAUUAAACCUUUAUUUUGAUUUGACAGUCUGCAAACACUUUUUUUUGUAGAAAGUACAGAGGGACAUUUCUGAGACCAUCAAGAACUAUAGUAAAAAAAUCAAACAACCUGCCUUAAUAUUUAGAAACAAGCUAUCUGUUAAAAUGCUUUAGAAUAUUUUCAUUCAUGUCACAGAUUUCAACCUUUUUUUUGAUUCAACAAGAUAAAAACACUCUUUUAGUUGAAUCUACAAAAAGAUAUUUCAAAGUCCGUUGAGGCCUAUAGUGAAAAACUGAAUAUCCCAUGAUAAAAACUAGAAGUGAGCCCUGUGUGAAAAUGCUUUGUGAUGUGUGGAUUCAUCUCACAGAGUUAAACUUAUAUUUUUAUUCAACACCUUGGAAACACUCUUUUUGUAGCAUCUAUGAAGGGACAUUCUGAGGCCAUUGAGGCCUAUAGUGAAAAGCAGAAUAUCCUUCCUUAAAAUCUAGAAACAAUCUAUCUGUGAAGAUGAUUUAUGAUGUGAGCAUUUAUCUCACAGAUUUAAAACUAUGUUUUAAUUCAACAGGUAGGAAAAAGUCUUUUUGUAGAAUCUAUGAAAGGACACUUCUGAGCCCACGGAGACCUAUAGUGAAAAACUGAAUAUCCAGCAUUAAAAACUAGAAACAAGCUAUAUGUAAAAAUGUUUUGUGAUGUGUGGAUUCAUCUCUCCCAAUGGAACCUGUGUUUUGAUUCUCCAGGUUGGAAACACUUUUUGUGAAAUCUAUGAAGCGACAUUUCUGAGCCCAUUGAGGCAUAUUGUAAAAUUUGAAUAUUCCACGAUAAGAACUAGAAACAAGCUAUCUCUGAAAAUCCUUUUCAAUGUGUGGCUUCUCCUCACAGAGUUAAAUCUUUGUUUCAAUUCAACACCUUGAAAACACUUUUUUGGUAGAAUCUACGAAGGGACAUUUCUGACCCAUUGAGGCCUACAGUAAAAAAUGUAGGGACAUUUCUGAGCCCAUUGAAGCCUAUAGUUAAAAAACUAAUUUCUGGUGAUAAAAUCUAGAAACAAGCCAUCUGUGAAAAUGCUUUGUGAUGUAUGGAUUUAUCUCAAAAAGUUAAAACUAUGUUUUUAACCAACAGGUUGAAAUCACUCUUUUUGUAGAAUCUAUGAAAAGACGUUUCUGAGCCCACUGAGGCCUGUAGAGAAAAACUGUAUAUCCUGCAAUAAAAGCUAGAAGAAAAGCUCUCCGUGUAAAUGGUUCCCGAUGUGUGGGUUAAUCUCACAGAGUUAAACAUUUGUUUUUAUUUAACAGGUUAGAAACGUUCUUUUUGUAGAAUCUACGAAGGAAUAUUUCUGAGCCCAUUGAGGCCUAUAGCAAGAAGCCAUAUAUCCGUCAAUAAAAACUGGAAACAAGCUAUCUGUGAACAUUUUUUGUGAUGUAUGCAUUUAUCUCACCAAAUGGAACCUGUGUUUUGAUUCACCAGUUUGGAAACACUCUUUUGUGGAAUGCAUGAAGGGACAUUUCUUAGCCAAUUGAGGUGUAUAGUGAUAUACCAAAUAUCCCGGGAUAGAAACUAGAAACAAGUUAUCUGCAAAAAUGCUCUGUGAUGUGUGGAUUUAUCUCACAGAGAUGAAGCUUUGUUUUGAUUCAACAUGUUGGAAACACUUUUUUUGUAGAAUCUACAAAGGGACAUUUCUGAGACCAUUAAAAACUACAGUAAAAAAAGGUAUAAUGCACCUUAAAAUCUAGAAACAAAGCUAUCUGUGAAAAUGCUUUGCAAUAUGUGGAUUCAUGUCACAGAUUUAAACCUUUGUUUUGAUUGAACAAAUUGGAAACACUGUUUUAGUAGAUUAUAUAAAGGGACAUUUCAAAGCCCAUUGAAGCCUAUAGUGAAAAAUCAAAAAUCCCGUGAGCAAAAAUAGAAACAACCUCUGUGGGAAAAUGCUGUGUGAUACGUUCAUUCAUCUCACAGGGAUAACCUUUGUUUUUAUUCAACACCUUGGAAACAUUCUUUUUGUAGAGUCUAUGAAAAAAAUUUCUGAGCCAAUUGAAGUCUGUAGUGAAAAAGCUAAUAUCCCAUUUUAAAAUAUAAAACAAACUAUGAAAAUGAGUUUUGAUGUGUGGAUUCAUCGAGAGUUAGACCUUUGUUCUAAAUCAACAGGUUAAGAACACUCUUUUUGUAGAAUCUAUGAAAAAACAUUUCUGAGCCCGUUGAGGCCUAUUGCGAAGUGAAUCUCUUGCAAUAAAAAGCAGAAACCAGCUCUCUGUGAAAUAAUUUUGUGAUGUACAAAUUUAUCUUGCAGAGUUAAAACUUUGUUUUAAUUCAACAAGUUGAAACCUUCUUUUUGUAGAAUCUGCAAAGAGACAUUUCUGAGCCCAUUGAGGCCAAUAGCAAAAAAAUGAAUAUCCCACAAUAAAAACUAGAAACAAAACAGCUGUGUAAAUGCUUUGCAAUAUGUGGAUUCGUCUCACUGAGUUAAACCUAUGUUUUGAUUCAACAAGUUAAAAAACUUGUUUUUGUAGUAUCUUCGAAGGGACAAUUCUGAGCCUAUGGAGAUUAUAGCAAAAAACUGAAUAUCCUGCAAUAAAAACUAGAAACAAGAUAUCCGUGGAAAUGCUUUGAGAUGUGUAGAUUUAUUUCACAGAAUUAAACCUUUGUUUUGAUUUAACAGGUUGGAACCACUCUAUUUUAAGAAUCUAUGAAGAAAUAUCUUUGUCCCUAUUGUACACUAUAGUGGACAACUGAAUACUUCAUGACAAAAACUAGAAACAAGCUAGCUGUGAAAAUGCUUUGCAAUGGGUGAAUUCAUCUCACUCAGUUAAACCUUCGUUUUGAUUCAACAAGGGUGAAACACUCUUUUGGUAGAAUCUACAAAGAAACAUUUAUGAGCCCCUUGAGGACUAUAGUGAAAAAAUGAAUCUCCUGCAUUAAUAUCUAGAAACAAUCUAUUUGUGAAAAUGCUGUGUGAUGCAUGGAUCCAUCUCACAGAUUUCAAACUUUAUUUUGAUUCAACAGGCUGGAAACACUCUUGUUAUAGAAGCUACGAAGGGUCAUUUCUGAACCCAUUGAGGCCAAUAGUGAAAAACUAAAUAUCCUGCAAUAAACCUAGAAAAAAUCUAUCUGCGAAAAUACUUUGUGUAGUGUGGAUGAGUGUCUCAGGGUUAAACAUUUGUUUUUAUUCACCAGGUUCGAAACACUCUUUUUGUUGAACAGACAAAGGGACAUUUCUUAGCCCAGUUAGGCCUAUAAAGGUAAACCGAAUAUCCCGUGAUACAUAGUAGAAACAAGCUAUCUGCAAAAAUGCUUUGUGAAUUGUAGAUUCAUCUCACAGAAUUAAGCCUUUGUUUUAAUUCAACAGGUUAAAAACACUAUUUUUGUAGACUCUACGAAGAAACAUUUCUGAAACCAUUGAAACCUAUGGGGGAAAAAAACCCCCGAAAUUCCUGUGAUAAGAAAUGGAAAGCAGCUAUCUGUGAAAAUGCUUUGUAAUGUGUGGAUUCUUCUCACAGAGUUAAACCUUUGUUCUGAUUCAACAUUGUUCAGAACACUCUUUUUGUAGAAUCUACAGAGAUACUUUUUAGCAUUUUGAGGCCUCUAGUGAAAAACCGAAUGUCCUGCAAUAGAAACUGGAAACAACCUUCUGUGAAAAUGCUUUGUGAUUCGUCUAUUCAUCUCAAAGAAUGAAACUUGUGCUUUGAUUCAACAGGUUGGAAAACCCUUUUUGUAGAAUCUACGUAGGAACAUUUCUGAGCCCAUUGAGGCCUCUAGUGAAAAAACUGAAUAUCCCAGAAUUAAAACUAUAAACAAGCUAUCUGUGAAGAAGCUUUGUAAUAUGUGCAUUCAUCUAACAGAUAUAAGCGUGUAUUUUGAUUUGCCUGGUUGGGAACACUCUUUUUGUACAGUCUAUAAAGAAACAUUUCUGAGUGCAUUGAGUCAUAUGUUGAAAAAUCGAAUAUCUCGUGAUAAAAACUAGGCAGGAGGUAUCUGUGAAAAUGCUUUGAGAUGUGUGGGUAUUGGCCUCACAGAGUUAAACUUUUGUUUUGAUUCAACAGUUUGGAAACAUACUUUGUAGAAUCUACAAUGACAUAUUUCUGAGCCCAUUGAGGCCUGUAGUGAAAAACCGAAUAUCCCAUGAUAAAAACUCAAAACAAGCGAUAUGUGAAAAUGCUUUGUGACGUGUGGUUCAUCUCAUAGAGUUAAACCUGGUUUUGAUCCACUACAUUGGAAACACUCUUAUUGUAGAAUCUACAAAAAAAAAUUUCUGAGACCAUUGAGGUCUCUAGUGAAAAACUGAAUAUCCCAUGAUAAAAACUAGAUACAAGCUAUCUGUGAAAAUGCUUUGCAAUGUGUGGAUUUGUCUCACAAAGUUAAACCUGUGUUUGAUUCAACGGGUUGGAAACACUUUUUUUGUAGAAUCUAUGAAGAAACAUUUCUGAGACCAUUGAAGCCUAUAGUAAAAAAUUGAAUAUCCUGUGAUAUAAAUGAGAAACAAGUUAUCUACGAAAAUGUAUAUUAAUCUCACUGAAUGCAACCUGUGUUUUACUUCACCAGGUUAAAGAUGCUCUGUUGGUAAAAUCUGUGAAGGGACAUUUCUGAGCACAUUGAGGCCUAUAGUGAAAAAACGAAUAUCCUGCUAUAAAAACUAGAAACAAGCUAUGUGUGAAAAUGCUUUGCAAUGUGUGGAUUCACCUCACAGAUUUAAACCUUUGUUUUGUUUCAACAGGUUGGAAACACUCUUUUUGUAGUUGAACGAAGGGACAUUUUUGAGUCCCUUGAGGCCUAUAGUAAUGAACAGAAUAUCCUGCAAUAAAAAUUAGAAAGAAGUUAUCUGGGAAAAUGCUUUGUGUUGUGUGGACUUAUCUCACAGUGUCAAACUAUUGUUUCCAUGCAACACUAUAAAUGCACACUUUUUGUAGAAUCUAUGAGGGGACAUUUCUGAGCCCAUUGAGGCCUAUAAAGAAAAACCAAACUUCCCAUGUUAAAAGCUAGAAACAAGCUAUUUGCGAAAAUGCUUUAUGGUAUGUGGAUUCAUCUCAUUGAAUGAAACCUGUGUUUUGAUUCACCACGUUUGAAACACUCUUUUGAUAGAAUCCACGAAGGGACAUUUCACUGUAUGAGGCAUAUAGUGAAAAACCAAAUAUCUCAUGAUGAAAACUAGAAAGAAGCUAUUUGUGAAAAUGCUUUCUGAUGUUUAGAUUCAUGUCAAAGAGUUACACCAUUUUUUUGAUUCAACAGGUUUGAAACACUUUUUUUUAGAAUCUAUGAGGGACAUUUCUGAACAAAUUGAGGAGUGUAGUGAAAAACCGAAUAUCCCACUGUAAAAACUACAAACAUUCUGUCUGUGAACAUACUCCCAACUGACCCUGGGUAUUCUAAUAUGAGAGACUCCUGGCUGACCCCAGGCAGUCUAAGGAUAGAGACUCCUGGCAGACUGCAGGCAUUCUAAUGACAGAGACACCUGUGCAACUCCAGGCAUCUUAAUGAAAGAGACUUUAUGCCGACCUUAGGCAUUCUUGUGAUAGGGGCAACUGUGCGUCUUAAGACAUUUUUAUGAGAGAGACUCCAGGCUGACCCCAGGCAUUCUAAGGAGAGAGACUUCUUGCAGAAUUCAGAUACUGUAACGAUAGAGACACUGGGGCAACCUCCAACAUUCUAAUGAGAGGGACUUCUGGUCUACCACGGGCACUUCAAUGAUAAAGACAGUUUUUCGACCCCUAGCAUUUUAAUAGGAGAGACUGCCAGCCAAAACCAGGCAUUCAAACUGGAGAGACACCCAGCCAACCACAGGCAGUCUAAUGUUAGAGACGCCUGGAUGAUCACAGGCAUUAUAAUGGGAGAAACUGAAUGCCAAACGCAGGCAGUCUAAUGUUGGAGAUACCCAGCCAACCCCAGGCAUUUUAAUACAAAAGACUCCUGGUCGACCCCAGGCAUUCCAAUGAUAGAGACACUGUGGCGACCCAAGGUAAUCUACUGGGAGAGACUCCCUGCCAACCCCAGUGAUUCUAAUGGGAGAGACUGCUGGCUGACACCAGGCAGUCUGAUAGAAACCCCUGGGCAACCCCAGGCAUUCUAAUGAAAGUGAUUCCUGGCUGAACUUAGGCAGGCUAAUAACAGAGACAUCUGGGUGACCCCAGGCAUUCUAAUGGUACAGGCUCCCGGGAAAUUCCAGGCAUUCUAAUGGGAGAGACUCUUGGCCGACUACAGGCAGUUUAAGGAUAGAAACACCUGGGCGACCACAGGCAUUUUAAUGGAAAGACUCCAUGCUGACCCAAGGCAGCCUAAUUACAGAAACACCGGGUGACCCCAGGUAUUCUAAUGGAAGAGACUCCCGGUGGACCCCAGGCAGUCUAAUGAUAGAGACACCUGGGCAACCACAGGCAUUCUAAUGGGAGAGACUCCCAGCAGAGCCCAGGCAAUCAAAUGAUACACCUGGGCGACCCCAAAUAUUCUAAUAGAAGAGACUCCUAGCCAACCCCAGGCAUUCUAGUAAGAGACUUCUAGCCGACAAAAGGCAGUCUUAGGUUAGAGACACCUAGGCAACCUCAGGCAUUCUAAUGGGAGAGAUUCAUUGCUGACCCCUGUUAGUCUAACGAUAGAGUCACCUGGGGAACCUCAGUCAUUCUAAUGAGAUAGACUCCUGCCGAACCCAAGCAGUCUAAUUAUAAAGACAUUUCGGUGACCCAAGGCAUUCUAAGGAAAGAGACUCCUGGUGGAUCCCAGGCAGUCUAAUAAUAAAGACACCUGAGCAACCCCAGGCAUUCUAACGGAAGAGACUCCCAGCUGACCCCAGGCAGUCUAAUGAUAGAACUCCUGGGCAAACCCAGGCAUUCUAAUGGGAGAAACUUCUGGCCAAACCUAGGCAGUAUAAUUAUAUAUGCCAAAUCGACCCCAGGCAUUUUAAGGGGAGUGACUCCCAGCCGACUCCAGGCCGUCUAAUGAUAGAGACACCUGGGUGACCCUAGGCAUUCUAAUGGGAGGGACUCACCGCCGACCCUGGGCAUUCUAAUGGGAGAGACUCGUGGCCUACCCCAGGCAGUCUAAUGAUAGAGACACCUGAAAAACCCCAGGAAUUCUAGUGGGAGAGACACCCGACCAACUGCAGGAAAUCUAAUGAUAGAGACAACUGGGUGACUGCAGGCAUUUUAAUGGAAGAGACUCUCAGAUGACUUGACGUUUUAAUGAUAGAGACACCUGGGCAUCCCGAGGCAUUCUAAUAGGAGAGACUUCCAGCCAAACCCAGGCAUUCUUUUGAAAGAGAUGUCUGGCUGACCCCAGGCAGUCUGAUUAUAGAGACACCUGGGUGACCUCAGGAAUUUUAAUUGGAGAGAUUCCCGGCUGAUCACAGGCAGUCUAAUGAUAAAGUCAUCUAUGUGACUUAAGACAUUCUAAUGGGAGAGACUCCAGACCGACAUCAGACAUUCUAAUAAUAGAGACACCUCUGUGACUCCAGGCAUUCUAACGGGAGAGACUCUGGGCCGACACCAGGCAUUCUAAUAAAAAAGACUCCUGGCUGACCAUAGACUCUCUAAUGAUAGAGACAUCUGAACGACCCUUGGCAUUCUAAUAAUAGAGACUCCCGGCUGACCUCAGGGACCCUAAUGGUAGAGACACCUAGCUGAUGCAGGCAGUCUUAUGAUAGAGACACUUCGAUGACCGGAGACGUUCUAAUAAGAGAGAUUCCUGGUUGAACCCAGGCAUUCAAAUGAUAGACACCUUAUCGAGGACAGGCAUUUUAAUGGGAGAGACUCCCGCCAAACCGCAGGCAGUUUAAUAAAGAAAUAGGGAUGAAUACAGGUAUUCUAAUGAGAGACACUCCUGGCUGACUUCAGGCAGUCUAACAAUAGAGACACCUGGGAGAGCCCAGGUAUUCUAAUGGGAGAGAUUGCUGGCUGAACACAGGCAGUCAAACUGUAGAGGAAUCUAAGCCACCCAAGGCAUUUUAAUAGGAGAGCCUACCAGCUGACCCCAGGCAGUCUAAUGAUAGAGACACCUGGGCGAACCCAGGCAUACUAAUGGGAGAAACUCCCAGAUAACUCAAGGCAUUUUAAUAAGAGACAAUCUUGGCGGACCCCAGGCAGUCUAAUGUUCACAACUGGGCAACCACAGGCAUCCUAAUGGGAGAGACUACAGGACAAGCCCAGGCAUGCAAAUAAUAGAUACACGUAUGCGACCCCAAGCAUUCUAAUGAGAGAGAAUUCCAACUGACACCAGAUAUUCUAAUGGGAGAGACUCCUGCCUGACCCCAGGCAGUCUAAUAAUACAGACACCUGGAUGACCUCAGGCAUUCUAAUUAGAGAGACUUCUGUACAAACCCAGGCAAUCCAUGCAUAGAGACACCUAGGUGACCCCAGCCAUUCUAAUGGGGGAGAUUCCCAACUGACCACAGGCAGUCUAAUGGUAGAGGCACUUGGGUGACCCCAGGCAUCCUAAUAGUGGAGACUUCCAAAGGACCCCAGCCAAUCUAAUGUUAGAGACACCUGGGUGACACCAGGCAUUCUUAUGGGAGAUACCCUCCACUGACCCCAGGAAUUCUAAUAAUAGUGACACCUGGGAUACCACAGGCAUUCUAAUGGGAGAGACUGCUGGCUGACACCAGGCAUUCUCAUAAUAGAGACACCUGGGGGACUCCACUCCAGGCAUUCUAAUGGGGGAAACUCUCAGAUGACCCCAAGCAAUCUAAUGUUAGAGAGAGCUGUGCAACCACAAACAGUCUAAUGUUAGAGACACGUGGGUGACCCCAGUCACUCCAAUGGGAGAGACUCACAGAUGACAGAAAGCAUUCUAAUGGGAGAUACUCGUGGUCAACCCCAGGCAGUCUAAUGCUAGAGACACUGAUUGAGCCCAGUGAUUGUAAUGGGAGAGACUAAUGGUCGAACACAGGCAGUCUAAUAGUAGAGACACUUAGGUGAUCCUAGACAUUCUAAUGGAAAAGACUAUCAUCUGACCCCAGGCAUUCUAAUAAUACAGAAACCUGGGUGACCUAAGGCAUUCUAAUGGGAGAGACUUCCAUCUGAACCCUGGCAUUCUAAUGGGAAAGACACCAAGCCAGCCCAGGCAGUCUAAUGAUAGAGACAUCUGUGUAACCACAGGCAAUCUAAUGAAAGAGACUCCCGGCCAAUCGCAGGCAGUAUAAUGACAGAGAAAUCUGAACGACUGCAAGUAUUUUAAUGGGAGACACUUCUGGCUGACCCCAGGCAGUCUAAUAAUAGAGACACCUGAUGGACCCCAAGCAUUCUAAUAGAAGAGACUUCGAGCUGACCCCAGGCUGUCUAAUUAUAAAGACAUCUGGGCUACCUUGGUAAUUCUAAUGGGUAAGACUCCUGGCCAACCACAGGCAAUUCUAAUGGAAGAGACUCCUGACUGACACCAGGCAGUCUAAUAAUAGAGAAACCUGGGCAAUCCCAGACAUUCUUAUGGGAGAGACUGCUGGCUGAACCCAGCAGUCUAAUGAUAGAGACACAUGAGCAAACCCAAACAUUCUAAUGGGAGAGAUUCCCAGCCAAUUCCAUGCAUUCUAAUGAAAGAUCUCCUGGCCAACCCCAUGCAGUCUUAAAAUAGACACCUGGGCGACACCAGGCAGUCGAAUAAGAGAGACUCCUGGCUGACACCAAGCAGUCUAAUGGCAGAGACACCUGGGCCACCCCAGGCAUUCUAAAAAAAAAGAAUCCCAACUGACAUGAAGCAGUCUAAUGAUAGACAACUGGGCACCACAGGCAUUCUAAUGGGAGAGACUCCCAGUCGAUUCCAGACAUUCUAAUUUGAGAGAAUUUGGGAGAUGCCAGGCAUUCUCAUUGGAGAUAUCAGCGACCGACCUGCACCAGACUAAUGAUGAAAAUGCAUCCACGAACCCAGGCAUUCUAAUGGGAGGGGCUCUGGGAGACCUCAUGCAGUCUAAUGAAAAAGACACCUGGAUGACCUUAGACGUUCUAAUGGGAGAGACUCUGGUCCAACCCUAGACUGCCUAAGGUUAGAGACACCUGGUCAACCCCAGACAUUCCAAUGAAAGAGACUCCUGGCCCAAUUCAGGCAGUCUAAUGAUAGAGACACCAAUGUCACACUAAGCAUUUUAAUGUGAGAGACUCCUGGCUGAGACCAGGAAGUCUAAUUAUAGAGACACCUGGGCAACCCCAGGCAUUCUAACGGGAGAGACUUCAGGCUGACCCCAGGCAGUCUAAUGAUAGAGAAACCUGGGCGACUCCAGGCAUAAUAAUGGGAGAGACUGCUGGCUGACCCAAGGCAGUAUAAUGAUAGAGACCCCUGGGCAUGCUAUCUGUGAAAAUGCUUUAGGAUGUGUGGAUUAGUCUCACCAAAUGGAACCUGUGUAUUGAUUCACCAGGUUGAAAACACUCUUGCUGUAGAAUCUAUAAAGGGAUAUUUCUAAGACAAUGUAGGCCUAUAGUGACAGACCGUAUAUUUUGCAAUAAAAAAUAGAAACAAGCUAUCUGUGAAAAUGCUUCAUGAAAUGUGGAUUUAUUUCAAUGAGUUAAAACUUUGUUUUGAUUCAAUAGGCUGGAAAGCCUCGUUUUGUAGUAUCUACGAAAAGAAAUUUCUGAGCUCAUUGAGACUGGUAGUGAAAAAUCUAAUAUCCUGUGAUAAAAAGUAUAAAAACGCUAUGUGUGAAAAUGCUUUGCCAUAUGUGAGUUCAUCUCCAACAGUUAAAACUUUGUUUUGAUUCAACAG
rnacentral:lncRNA from 1 species